rnacentral:rRNA from 1 species
UACGUAGGCAGCGAGCGUUGUUCGGAGUUACUGGGCGUAAAGGGUGCGUAGGCGGUUGUUUAAGUUUGGUGUGAAAUCUCCCGGCUCAACUGGGAGGGUGCGCCGAAUACUGAAUGACUAGAGUGCGGGAGAGGAUAGUGGAAUUCCCGGUGUAGUGGUGAAAUGCGUAGAUAUCGGGAGGAACACCAGUGGCGAAGGCGACUAUCUGGGCUGCAACUGACGCUGAGGCGCGAAGGCUAGGGUAGCAAACAGG